rnacentral:rRNA from 1 species
GACGAACGCUGGCGGCGUGCUUAACACAUGCAAGUCGAACGAAGUGGCGAACGGGUGAGUAAUGCGUAAUCAACCUGCCCUUCAGAGGGGGUCAACAGUUGGAACCGUCUGCUAAUCCCGCAUACUGACGGGGGGGAUUGUGUGUGAUUAGCUAGGUGGAGGGGUAAUGGCCAACCAAGGCGAGGAUCAGUAGCCGGUCUGAGAGGAUGAACCGCCACAAUGGGACUGAGACACGGCCCAGACUCCUACGGGAGGCAGCAGGGGGGAAUCUUCCGCCAUGGACGAAAGUCUGACUGAGCAACGCCGGGUGAGUGAUGACGGCCUUCGGGUUGUAAAGCUCUGUUAAGCGGGACGCGGUACCGGAAUAGAAAGCCACGGCUAACUACGUGCCAGCAGCCGCGGUAAUUC